UAUUGCUCCUCCGGCUGCGGCCGCUGCCGUCUCUCCAGCACCCGCCGCCCUCACCGCCCUCACCCCUCCCGGUGCCGCCGCAAAACCAGUCCCGCGGCCGCCAAGCGAACCCGGCCCCGCACGACACUGCGUGCGCGCGCACGCGAGCGGGCAGCGGCGCUCUUUACGGCGGUAGCGUCAGUGCGUGACGCUCGAGCUUGGCCGCAAUUUACACGUGGCUGUGUUGGAGGCGCGUUGUUGUUGCUGCCGCUACAGUCGCUGCCGGCACUGCCCUUGCCACUACCAGUAUGAAGCGACCGAAGUUAAAGAAAGCAAGUAAACGCAUGACCUGCCAUAAGCGUUAUAAAAUCCAAAAAAAGGUUCGAGAGCACCAUCGAAAAUUGAGGAAGGAGGCUAAAAAACGGGGUCGCAAAAAGCCUAGAAAAGACCCAGGAGUUCCAAACAGUGCUCCCUUUAAAGAAGCUCUUCUUCGGGAAGCUGAGCUAAGGAAACAGCGGCUUGAAGAACUAAAACAGCAGCAGAAACUUGACAGGCAGAAGGAACAGGAAAAGAAAAGAAAACUUGAAAUUAACCCUGGUGUUAAGCCAUCUAACUUGGAACCUGUGAAGGAGGAAUUUGGGCAUGGCAGAGCUAAGGACAAACCCAAGUCAGGCAAACAGAAUCCGAAGAAGUUGUAUUGUCAGGAACUUAAAAAGGUGAUUGAAGCCUCAGAUGUUGUGCUGGAGGUGCUCGAUGCCAGAGAUCCACUUGGUUGCAGGUGUCCCCAGGUAGAAGAGGCCAUUAUCCAGGAUGGACAGAAGAAGCUGGUACUUGUAUUAAAUAAAUCAGAUUUGGUACCAAAGGAGAAUUUGGAGAACUGGCUAAAUUAUUUGAAGAAGGAAUUACCAACAGUGGUGUUCAGAGCCUCAACAAAUAAAGACAAGGGCAAGAUAAUCAAGCAUUUGAAGGUAAGGAAGAGAGCUCCAUUCAAAAGCGAAGUCUGUGUUGGGAAAGACAGCCUUUGGAAGCUUCUCAGAGGUUUUCAGGAGGCUUGUGGCAAAGCCAUUCAGGUUGGAGUAAUUGGUUUCCCAAAUGUGGGGAAAAGCAGCAGCAUCAAUAAUUUAAAACAAGAACGGAUAUGUAAUGUUGGUAUAUCCAUGGGGCUUACAAGGUGCAUGCACGUUGUCCCCCUGGACAAACAAAUCACAGUCCUAGACAGUCCAAGUCUCAUUGUGUCUCCACUUAACUCUGCCAGCGCACUUGCUCUGAGAAGUCCAGCAAGUAUUGAGGUGGUGAAACCAGUGGAGGCUGCUAGUGCCAUCUUGGCCCAGGCUGAUGCUCGACAGGUAGUACUGAAAUUUACUGUUCCAGACUUUAAGAAUCCUGUGGAGUUUUUUACAUCACUUGCUCAGAGAAGAGGACUGCACCGAAAAGGUGGAAGUCCAAAUUUAGAAGGUGCUGCCAAACUGAUGUGGUCGGAGUGGACAGGUGCUUCCUUAGGUUACUAUUGCCAUCCCCCUACAUCCUGGACUCCUUCUCCACAUUUUAAUGAGGGCAUUUUGACAAAUGUGAAACAGGACCUUAAUCUGGAAGAACUGGAAAAGAACAAUGCACACAGCAUACGUACUAUCAGGGGCCCUCGUUUAGCCAGCAGCAUCCUUUUCCAGUCUUCGGGUCUGACAAAUGGAAUAAUUGAGGAAAAGGACGUACCUGAAGAACUGCCAAAACAGAAGGAGAAGCAGCAGGAGGAGGGGGAGAACUACAGUGACCUUGACAGUGACCAGGAAAGUGUUGAAGAAGCAGCUGGUGAAAAGAGCUUAGACAUGUCUGGGGCAGAAGAGGCCUGGGAGGCACUGCCUGAGGAGUCUCAAGCAGAUGAGUUCGCACAUUCUUACAUCUCAGAUAAAAUGACUGAAGAGGAAGAUGACGCUUAUGACUUCACAGACUAUGUAUAACAGAACCUUGUCCUUUUCUUGCUGGGGAACAUUUGGGACAAAGUCUAUGGGCUGAAACCCCACAAUUCCUGAAUCUGCAAAGAACACACAAGAAAGGCAUUGUGAUACAAUCUCAUGAGCUUUUGAUAGAGAGCCCAAGACAUGAAAAGAGCAGUACAUAUAAAGUACAUCAUACCAGUGAGCUACUUCUCUAAAGAACACACAUCAGUAUGCCUCAGCAGUGUGCCUCUAUCACAUGGUGAGCUGAGCCUUACCUACAGAAACCGGCUAACCAGGAGCUGCUAGACAAAACCAUAGCAUUUGCUGCUUAGAGCCAAUUUCUACCAAGACUGGAAAGAACGAUCACCCUCGAAUAAAUCUCAUUUACUUAAUGGUACAAGAGACAAUGUCCACUA